CCCAGUUGCAUCCAGGAGGGUGUUUAUUUUGACCUGUUGCUGUGAUAGUCUAAUUCAGUCAUUUUAGCAUGGGAGCAUUUUGAUAUAAUCUGAAAUAUAAACCACUCAACUUUCACCUGUUACAAAUUGUCAGUCAGCAGGGGAAACCAGCAUCCAGAGUGAACCUCAGGGGGUGUUUGAACAGUGGGGUGUAUGGUAAGAGUGAAGUCAGUGUUUGGGAAUCAAGAGAACACUUUACUCUUCCCAGUUUGAAAUUAAUGGUUUUGUGAGGACCUGAUGGAUUGGCUGAAUGGCUUUGCAUUACGAACACACUGAAAC
rnacentral:lncRNA from 1 species